rnacentral:rRNA from 1 species
GCAAGUCGAAUGUUGCAGCAAUGUAGACAUGGCGAACGGCUGAGUAACACGUGGGUACUUACCUUUGAGUUCCGCAUAACCUGCCGAAAGGCAGGAUAAUUCGGGAUAUUCUCGCAAGAGGAAAGAUUUAUCGCUCAAAGAGAGGCCUGCGCCCGAUUAGCUUGUUGGUGAGGUAACGGCUUACCAAGGCACUGAUCGGUAGGGGGCUUGAGAGGGUGACCCCCCAGACUGGGACUGAGACACGGCCCAGACUCCUACGGGAGGCAGCAGUGAGGGAUUUUCCACAAUGGACGAAAGUCUGAUGGAGCAAUGCCGCGUGAAGGAAGAAGGUUUUCGGAUUGUAAACUUCUUUUAUAGGGGACGAUUAUGACGGUACCCUAUGAAUAAGGCGCUGCUAACUACGUGCCAGCAGCAGCGGUAAUACGUAGGCGCCAAGCGUUAUUCGGAUUUACUGGGCGUAAAGGGCCCGCAGGUGGAUUAACAAGUCUGACGUUAAAUAUCUCGGCUCAACCGAGGGAAGGUGUCGGAAACUGUUAGUCUAGAGGCCGGUAGAGGUUGUCGGAACUUAUCGAGUAGGGGUAAUAUCCGUUGAUACGAUAAGGAACACCAAAGGCGAAGGCAGACAACUGGGCCGGCCCUGACACUCAUGGACGAAAGCGUGGGGAGCGAACGGGAUUAGAUACCCCGGUAGUCCACGCCCUAAACGAUGGAUACUAGUCAUUGGUGGCUUCGACCCCCCCAGUGACGAAGCUAACGCGUUAAGUAUCCCGCCUGGGGAGUACGGUCGCAAGACUAAAACUCAAAGGAAUUGACGGGGACCCGCACAAGCGGUGGAGCAUGUGGUUUAAUUGGAUGGUAAGCCGGGCACCUCACCAAGAUUUGACAUCCUAUGAAAGGCACCAGAAAUGGAGCCCCUCGCAAGACAUCAGAGACAGGUGCUGCACGGUUGUCGUCAGCUCGUGUUGUGAAAUGUACCGUUAAGUCGGAUAACGAGCGCAACCCCUCUUGCCAGUUACAAGUGUCUGGCGAUACUGCCGUGGUUAACACGGAGGAAGGUGGGGAUGACGUCAAAUCAGCGUGGCCUUUAUAUCUUGGGCGACACACGUGCUACAAUGGGUAGGUCACAAUGGGGCGCUAAGCCGUAAGGCGGAGCCAAACCCAUCAAAACUACCCCCAGUUCGGAUUGAGGUCUGCAACUCGACCUCAUGAAGCCGGAAUCGCUAGUAACCGCAAAUCAGCCAUGUUGCGGUGAAUACGUUCUCGGGUCUUGUACACACCGCCCGUCACACCACGAAAGCUAGAAACACCCGAAAUC